rnacentral:rRNA from 1 species
AGAGUUUGAUCAUGGCUCAGGAUGAACGCUAGCGGGAGGCUUAACACAUGCAAGUCGAGGGGCAACACGAGGUAGCAAUACUUUGGUGGCGACCGGCGCACGGGUGAGUAACGCGUAUGUAACCUACCUUGUACAGGGGGAUAGCCCGGAGAAAUUCGGAUUAAUACCCCAUAAUGAUAUUUAAAGGCAUCUUUAGAUAUUUAAAGUUUCGACGGUACGAGAUGGGCGUGCGUGACAUUAGCUAGUUGGUAAGGUAACGGCUUACCAAGGCUGCGAUGUCUAGGGGUCCUGAGAGGGUGAUCCCCCACACUGGUACUGAGACACGGACCAGACUCCUACGGGAGGCAGCAGUGAGGAAUAUUGGUCAAUGGGCGUAAGCCUGAACCAACCAUCCCGCGUGAAGGAAGAAGGCGCUAUGCGUCGUAAACUUCUUUUCCGGAGGAAUAAAAUUUCGUACGCGUACGGGACUGAAGGUACUCCGGGAAUAAGCAUCGGCUAACUCCGUGCCAGCAGCCGCGGUAAUACGGAGGAUGCGAGCGUUAUCCGGAUUUAUUGGGUUUAAAGGGUGCGUAGGCGGAUUAAUAAGUCAGUGGUGAAAACCUUUCAGCUUAACUGGAGAACUGCCAUUGAUACUGUUAGUCUUGAGUACGGUCAAGGUAGGCGGAAUGUGUAAUGUAGCGGUGAAAUGCUUAGAUAUUACACAGAACACCGAUUGCGAAGGCAGCUUACUGGACCAUUACUGACGCUGAUGCACGAAAGCGUUGGGGA